rnacentral:rRNA from 1 species
GUCUUUCAAGUCCGAUGCUAAAGACUGGGGCUCAACCCCAGGGGUGCGUUGGAUACUGUGAGGCUAGACGGUCGGAGGGGGUAGCGGAAUUUCCGGAGUAGCGGUGAAAUGCGCAGAUACCGGAAGGAACGCCAAUAGCGAAGGCAGCUACCUGGACGACUUGUGACGCUGAGGCGCGAAAGCGUGGGGAGCAAACCGGAUUAGAUACCCGGGUAGUCCACGCCCUAAACCAUGAGUGCUGGGUGUCCGGCUUCUGCUGGGUGCCGUAGCUAACGCGCUAAGCACUCCGCCUGGGAAGUACGCACGCAAGUGUGAAACUCAAAGGAAUUGACGGGGGCCCGCACAAGCGGUGGAGCAUGUGGUUUAAUUCGAAGCGACGCGAAGAACCUUACCAGGCCUUGACAUGCCCGGAACCCCUCUGAAAGGAGGGGGUGCCCGCAAGGGAGCCGGGACACAGGUGCUGCAUGGCCGUCGUCAGCUCGUGUCGUGAGAUGUUGGGUUAAGUCCCGCAACGAGCGCAACCCCUAUCCCUAGUUGCCAGCAGUUCGGCUGGGCACUCUAUGGAGACUGCCUGCGAAAGCAGGAGGAAGGCGGGGAUGACGUCUGGUCCGCAUGGCCCUUACGGCCUGGGCGACACACGUGCUACAAUGCCAAGGACAGAGCGCUGCUACCUCGCGAGAGGACGCCAAUCGCAAAAACCUUGGCUCAGUUCGGAUUGGAGUCUGCA